UGGUCGUCCGAUCGGUGCUGGACAGUAAAUUUUGCCUCCCGCAGCGAUUGACCACCGUCCAUUUUACCUCUUCCUCGUUCACGUUAGCGCUGUGCUGAGAAGUCUAUGACAUUUGGGGUCUUCUUUGAGUGGGGUCGCGUGGCAGAGGCAAGAGGGCUCGUGCUGUGAGUCUGUCAUUUCUCUUGCCUAAGCUGAAAACCUAGACACCACGAUUGGCUCCGCUUCCUCCUGUCUUCCCCAAUCCGCCGCAUUCUCUCCUCCUCCCAUUUUGCCCAACUCAGGUCGCCCAGGAGGUCGGAGCACAGUGGACCGCGCAUCGACCUCGCCGCUCCUCUUCCGAGCGUUGGAGAAGCAUGGUCGGGAGGCAGCGCGGGCGCCGCCGCCUCGUGCCUCGCUCGGGCCGCUGCGUAGAGCGCCAGGAGGCCAUGGUAGCCACCGGUCGCGGGCAUCAGGCCGUGGCCGCAUCAGCCGCCGCCCCAGCGGUCUUCUCUCUCUCCCCACAGGGUGGUCGCCCUCUCUAGUGCGUCGGAGCGCCGGAUCGGUCGAUGUGAAUCAAUGGUGAGCCAAGGUGAGCGAAUCUUUCCACGCCGGCUACGUCCUCCUCCUCCUACAUCUACAGCGACGCCGCUAGGGUUGGGUGUCCCUUCUUCUUGUCCUCUACGACCUUGGGUUGCAAGGAGCCAACCCGGGGAGGACUCGAGGCUCAGUGGCGUUCCUUACGGCCGUCCGGGAUCCCCUCUCCUUCUUCUUUUAAUCCAUCUGGUUGAGUUUGUUUUCCACUUUUAGCCAUUGAACAAUCUUUGCUGCUGGAGAUGAGAUCCAUAUCUAAUUGAAAGAUAUUUGCUGCUGGAGAUGAGAUCCACAUCUAAUUGAACGAUCUUUUGCUGCAGGAGAUGAGAUCCACAUCUAAUUUUAUAGAAAUCACGGUUCGAGCUGCUGCGGAAAGGUCUCAACUCAGCUGCGCUUCUUCCUUGCUCAGGCGUUUGUUGAUUUCUCUGAAUAUUGGUUGGACAUUGCCCAUGUAGCACUCACCCAAGUGUGUACUAUGCUAAUAUCUACCACGACAUGACGGGCGGGAGUCCCGGAAGAGGGUGACGGAUGGCCACGAUGGCUCGCAGCAGGACGACGAUGCAUGAGGGCGCACGGAGCAGGGUGGCGCUCGCCUUGAGGAGCUCGUCCAUGAUCCAAUACCCAGACGAUGGAAAGGUCUAUGCAUGGUCUUUUUGGUCAUGUCGAACCCUUCUGUUGGAUAUGGAGGACGACAAGCAACUAUCUUCUUGGCCUUCUUGUGGUUUAUUGAAUAGCAGCGUCACUGCAUCGAGUGACCGCCAUUACCUCCGUCAUGAACUUGGAUUGGCAGCUGGUCAUACUCUAUUUGAGUUCAAAUAUUCUGCUUAUGAUGCAGUGAGAUAAUAUGCCAGGUACCCUUCCUGUCGCCGCUGCGCCAGAAUGACACUACCUCCACCAAGCAGCAAGUCAUGCAUGUGCGUGCAGUUCACACGCAAGAAAUUCCAACCAGUGAGUAUGAAGCUUUAGAUUUCAGACACCCAGUUGCUACUACUAUCUAGAGGUUUUGCAUAUGCAUGCAGUUCACAUGCAAGAAAUUCCAACCGGCAGUACCUGGAAGUGUUCUGGCAGCUGUGAAUCGACUGUGAGGUCUUCCUUAGGUACCCCUGCAUUACUACCUUAUCAACUGGUGUUAGGUCAUGUUCAGAAACUCUCUGAGCCACUACAGUUUGGUUAUCCAGGAGAUUCACAGACAUCGACAACAACCAUCUGUAGG